rnacentral:ncRNA from 1 species
UGCGAUGAGUCGAGUAAAAUCAGACAACUUCGGUUGUUCCGCUGCGGCGGCUAGUGAUUAGUUCGAAGAUGGGGCAUUUUUUACCUACCGCAUUGUAGGUAUGUCUGAUUGUCACUGUUUUGUGGAAUUC